GACACUUGGCUUUUUGGAUACUUCAGAGGGCCCCUGGAGUGUCCAGAAAAGAGAGGACGCAAUUGGAAAACGUGGUUAUUUUACCAUGACUUUGACUGGAAAGGUAACCAAACUCCAAGCAGUGACGGAACCAGAGCCUCUGACGAUGGCCCCUUCUGCUGGCAACCCUUAGGCCUCAGAGGGAGCUCUGACUUCGGUUUCCCCCAAACAGCAUACCCUGUCAGUGGAAAGCGGUUAGGAUCAAUCUUCAGGCCCACUUGGUGGCUGACACCUGUAAUCCCAUCACUUUGGGAGGCCAAGGUGGGUGGAUCACUUGAGGUCAGGAGUCUGAGACCA